UGGCUCUCGCAUCGAUGAAGAACGCAGCGAAAUGCGAUAAGUAAUGUGAAUUGCAGAAUUCAGUGAAUCAUCGAAUCUUUGAACGCACCUUGCACUUCUUGGUAUUCCGAGAAGUAUGCCUGUUUGAGUGUCAUUGUAAUCAUCAAUCUUGACUUUGCUCUUUUGUAAUGUCGGAUUGGACUUGGAGAUUGCAGGUCUUCGUGAUCUGCUUCUCUCAAAUGCAUUAGUUGGAUUGACUUGCAACGCUACGUUGUGGUGUGAUAACUAUCUUCACUGCAGCAGUUGUAAUGAAGUCUGGCUUCUAAUCGUCUUCGGACAGCUUUGACUAUUAGACCUCAAAUCAGGUAGGACUACCCGCUGA
rnacentral:misc_RNA from 1 species